GGAAGUGUGGUGUAGUGGUUGGAGCGCUGGACUACGACCCCAGAAGUCUGGGUUCGACUUCCUACUCAGUCA